rnacentral:tRNA from 1 species
GCGCCUGUAGCUCAGUUGGUAGUAGCACUUGCCUUUUAAGCAAGGGGUCGCGAGUUCGAGCCUCGCUAGGCGCACCA